rnacentral:rRNA from 1 species
AUGAAAUUCUAUUAUACCAAAGGGACUCGGUAAAGGCGAAGGCAGCCCUCUAUGUAAAAACUGACGUUGAAGGACGAAGGCACAGAGCACAAACAGGAUUAGAUACCCAAGUAGUCUUUGCAGUAAAUGAUGAAUGUCAUAGGUUAGAUUAAGCUUUAAUUAAUUAGUUUAUCAGUAAUGAACUAACUAUUAAACAAUAUUUAGUCCAUAAAUGAAAGUGUAAGCAUUCCACCUCAAGAGUAAUGUGGCAACGCAGGAACUGAAAUCACUAGACCGUUUCUGACACCAGUAGUGAAGUAUGUUGUUUAAUUCGAUGAUCCACGAAAAACCUUACCACAAUUUGAAUAUUUUACAGGAGUUGCACGGCUGUUUUCAGUUAAUGUUGUGAAACUGUGGUUUCCAUGAAAUUAACGCAAUCCCUGGCUUUAUUUUUUUUUUAUUACGAAAAAGCAUUUGAUCCAGGAUUUGGAAAGAAAAAGGGGACAAAGACAAGUCAUCAUGGCCUUGAUAUUGUGGGCUAUAGACGUGCCACAUAUUCCUACACAAAGAGAUGCAAAAAUGUGAAUUUAAGCUAAUCUCUAAAAAUAGGAUAUAAAUUUUAAGGAUUAUAGUCUGAAACUCGACUAUAUGAAUAAGUAAUUACUAGUAAUCGUGAAUCACCAUGUCACGGUGAAUUUACCUUGGAUUGGUACUAACCACUCGUCACAUGCUGAAAAGAGCAUGCGCAAUAAGUUUGCUUUCUUGAUGAUCAGUAAAAAGAAUAAGCAGGUUCUAUAUUCUAUUAUUAGG